CCUACGGGGGGCAGCAGUGAGGAAUAUUGGUCAAUGGUCGGAAGCCUGAACCAGCCAAGCCGCGUGAAGGACGAAGGUGCUAAGUAUCGUAAACCUCUUUUGUCAGGGGACAAAAUCAGGCACGCGUGCCUGGCCGAGGGUACCUGAAGAAAAAGCAUCGGCUAACUCCGUGCCAGCAGCCGCGGUAAUACGGAGGAUGCGAGCGUUAUCCGGAUUUAUUGGGUUUAAAGGGUGCGUAGGCGGACUUUUAAGUCAGCGGUAAAAAUCCGGGGCUCAACCCCGGCUAGCCGUUGAAACUGGGGGCCUUGAGUGGGCGAGAGGUAGGCGGAAUGCGUAGUGUAGCGGUGAAAUGCGUAGAUAUCGCGCAGAACUCCGAUGGCGAAGGCAGCUUACCGGCGUCGAACUGACGCUGAGGCACGAAAGCGCGGGUAUCGAACAGGAUUAGAUACCCUUGUAGUC
rnacentral:rRNA from 1 species